UUUCCUUUGACUUUUCCUUUAGGACUUUAUUAUUAACAAUGAAAUAACAAACUUGCUUAAGGGCAGAAUUGCACGCUGAGGAGCAUAACGGCGGUUAUAAAAACAAUGUUUUCCUCCCUGUAUGCCAGACAGCUUAAAUUUUAACCCUGUAAAGCGGAAUCCACAAAGUGGGCCAUAUGAAUUUUUGCUGAUAAGGUUUUGAAUUAAUCCCAUUUUGUACAGACCUGUGCUUGCGGAAGCUUAGGAAAAUCCAUCACGGUUGCAGAUUGUUUUCCAAGUAAUAUCCUCACAGACCACAAAGCCUUUCUUUUUAUGAUAAAUGCAUAAAGGUUUUUGCUGAACUUCAGUUUUAAGCCACUCCAUCUCUAAUCUUCGUCGCUCGGUUUUUAAGCAGGCUUUGGGUGUCUGGCUGAGCCGUAGCAGCGCUGACAUAGAGAUGGCGCAGCUCAAGGUGGGGGAGUGGAGCUGGGGGAGGUUCAGCCUCGACACAGCUUGCAUUUCCCUCCUCUUUGGUACAACCGAAGCUCUUAUUUCCUGCACAGACAAGCAGGCAGCGUGAUUCUGAAUAUCUGGGUGGAGGAUAAUAUACUGCAAAAUAAUUCAACCAUAAUCCCUAAGGAUGGGAUAACAAAUAGCAUCCCUUCUGUACAGGCAGCUGGAAUUACUUAGAAGGUGUAAAGCAGCUCAGUGCUCUGAGGAGCUGCCUUUAUAACAUGCUUUUAAGUAGGCACGUCUGUAACUUUGCAGAUGACGCUGCUUGCAGGCACAGAGGUGGCUGCAGGCUUGUUGGCUGUGCUGAGGGCUGACGAAGUGCUGCAGCCUGCUGGCACUGUGCCCAGAGCUGCAGGCGCAUUGCAAGGCAGCUCAGGAGGGCAGAUGCUGGCUUGCAGUCACCCAUGCAUUGUAGUUGCCUGUCUUUCCCGGCUGCCCUUGAGAAGAUUACAGCAUUAAGUAAAUGUUUUUCUUGAUACUGGUAUGAUUUUUAAUCUGACUGGUUAAGAGUCAGUUAAGCGGUAGCUCAAGGGAGAGCUGGCUCUGCAUCCAGAGGGAAAGCUUUAAGUAAAAAUAAAUUUAAAACUUUCCUUAAAAAAACCAUGUAACUGCACCCAGGCUGAUGUUUGCUAAGAGCACUUCAGUGGUAAGGUGGGGCCUUGGCCUGUUCUUGUUUCUCAGUUCUCCAGCCUGGGCCCUGCUGGUAAUGCAUGCAGAAGGGGAGGUAGGAGGGAGCACGCAACAGGAUGGCAGGAAUGGCUGCAGGUGUCUGCUGGGCUCCAGCUGUUCAGAAUCAGCUGGCCCAAAUCCAAUCCGAGUUAAUGGGAUCACAGAAUGGAGGUUUAUAUGCCAGAUAAUGAAGUGAAGCCCUAUGGAAGCGAGUGCUUUUAAUUUUAGUUUAUACUCAUUGCAAGUCUUUGGAGAAAUUAAGUUCCUUUUGCUCCUAAGAAGGUAUAAAUGAGAAGUGCACCUUUUACGCAGAUGAAUAUGUGAAUGGUGAGGAACUAAUCUGAUCUAUUAGUAUAAUUGGAACUAUGUCUGCUUAACGCUUUGAGCCAAACUGCAUUAGGUUUAGAAAUAAUUUUCAGUUUAAAAAGCUGCACUUGAAAAUAGUUCUAUUUCUGAGCAGAGUAUUUAAUGCUGAAUGACCAAAGAGCAAUGUGUGGCUUUAUGAGAACUGCUCUCCACUGCGCAGCGCAGGUCUGGAAGCUGGGCAUGCUCUGCAUCUGCCCUCAUUGCCAACCUUCUGCAGGCCAAACAGUUCCCAACAUGAUACUGAAAUAAACAAAUAAAAGAUUCUGUGUUGAUUGAUACUUUUGUAGUGCUUUUCUUAAACUGUUACGUCGGCUGUACUGGGUCCAUCUAGCCCUAUAUCCUGUCUCUGCCUGUAGCCAGCAAGAGUUGCCUGGAGAGCAGCAUUGCAAUAAGCCAGAGAGGAUGCUGGGCCAAAAUAUUUUCCCUGCUUCCUGUGACCGCAGUCCAGAGUGCUUCAAAAUCAGUGGUAUAUUGCCCAAGGAUGGCAGACACACAGGGCUGGCGCCGGGCUGAGUCUGCAGCAUCAGGCUGGAAGGAGGUGUCCCGCACAUGCGUGGAGCAGCAGUGCAGGUUCCAGGUGGGAUCCUUGCUCUGCUCGUACGUCAUCAGCGUAGUUUGGGUGCUGGACAGACGUCCCACUCCAAAGCCAGAUAUUCGGAGCUUGACUGGGAAGAGAAUUUGCUUCUCUGAGCUCAAGCAAUAGUACGUUUUAGGGUUAAUUGAUAAGGGGAUGACUCUAAUGUAAAAUGAUGGUUGUAAUGAGGCUAAAGAAGUUAUCACCUUUUGUAGCCAGAAAACUAUCCAGCUGCGGUGGAAAGCCAAAAUCUGCAAAGGAGAACCCUCCUCCAGAAAAGCACGGGGGCACCAGGUGCUGUCAGGAACUGUUCUGCUCUUGGAGAAGUGCUGGUCCUACUCUUCAUUGCAUUUUCAGGCUGCCACUUUUCUUCCUGAAGGUCCUUGUUCUAGAGGAGGAUGAGGAGGUCAUAGGAGUGGACACCCAUGCUGCUGUGAACUUAGAAAGCUUUUCAGUUUGCCAGACUCUGGCAAAAGCCUCUGAUCUGCACUGCACAAUCGAGCCUCAGUUCACGCUGGCAGUGGAGGCCUGUAGCUGAUAACGUGGGCAGCUUCAGGCUGUCCUGAAGGGUUUUGUGCAGCGUGUGCCUCUGCUGCGCUCACUGGCCCUUGCCUUUCUCAAAAUGUUAAGUAUUCAGCCCUACUCCACUGCAUUAUCUCACAAAUCUCCUUUUGUUUGGCGCUUUUCUGAAGCGUGCAUUGUGUGCAGUGGCACAAAUGGUGGCUGAGCUGCAUUUGCAGUGUGCUCGGAGGCGCUCUGCAGCACGGCCCGCUGCGGGCUGCUUCGUGCUCUUGCAUGGCCUCCUUGCCUGAAACCUGUGAAUGGAAGCACAGAAGCACCACAGCUUUUAUUUGGUGGUGGCUGUGUCAUGCUCCUAUUCCUGGAGCUGUCAGACGGAAGGGAGCUAAUCUGAUAACCCGUAAUAACUUUGUCUUCUGUGAUCUUGCUCGAUAGCUGUGCUUUAAUGCCCAAUUCCUUAUAGAGUGGGCCGGAAAGGAAAAAAAGUCCUGUUCAGGCUCAAAUCCUGUGCAGCCAGGCUGCUAAGUUUUCAUCAAAAGCAGGAAACAGAUGGACAGGCACAGCUGCAGGAGGUGCUGCAAUACUGAAAUACUCUCCAGGCAUGUGCAUGCAGGGACAUCAGCACAGCAGUGCUGCUCUGCACUGUGUGGACGGGCAGCCCUGCAGCCCGCAGUGCUGCUUCCCAGAGGCACUGCUGCACAUACGGCUCCAGGGCUCUGGGCCAGCUUGCUGGAAUGGUGUUAAAAUAUGGGGAAGGCAGACGCAUCAAAGACUAAGUCUUGUGUUUGUGCAGCGUGCUGAGGGCCCUGUCCUGGGGAGCUUCCCUUGUAUCCUCUCCAAACACACCUUCUUACUUUCUGUUGAGUUCUCCUUUGCAAUCUAUACAGCUACAUAACAAAGGGGUCUUGUGAGCUGAUGGAGUCUCAGAGGCAGCCAGAGAGACCUCUGGGAUGACCGUUCUUAUGUGCUGGGGACAGAAGAGCAAAGAGGGUCUGCAGCCAAGCAGUGCCCCAAAUCUGUGUCCAACCACUCAAACAGAGUCUGAUAUGCAGUCAUUGCUCAAGGGAUACGCUGUAAAAAUUAGUCUGUAUAUUGUUUAUUGGACUUCUCCUGUUUGCUUGAAAGGUGCAAAUAUUUAGAUCUCUUCCAGAACAGAUCUGAGUUAUUUUUCUCAUUUGGGAGGUUUAUUUUCUUAAGCGGUUCUGUAUUUUUUCUUUCUUUGUAUAGUUUUUUACAGAAAGUAAAGAUAUUUUCCGAGCAAGAAGUCUACAUAAACACAACUGUGUAGAGGGGAGAAUGUGUUUCGCUGCCUGCUUUCCCUUUUCUAAAGACAAAAGAUCCUUAUUGAAAUGUGCUUCCUUUCUGCCUGCUAAUGGGUUUGCCUUCCUUCCUCCUCACAACGAGCUCAGCAUUCUCCCAUCCUGUUGGGUAUGAAUUUCAGCCUGGACUGUUCUCCCUGUUGAGGUGUUGAGUCAUUGGCCUUGAAUGGGAGCUGCAGCGGGACUGGGGGACUCUGGGGCUUGGGAAGUAAGAGGCUGUCCAGCCAUGUGGUGGUAAGUGGGAUGAAUUUUAAAAAACAAGCGUAAGGUGCUAUUCACUUUUGUCUGAGGCUCCUCAUACUCUUUUCCUAGCUUUAUUUCUGGACACUUUCUUACGUUAUGGAGCUGGAUGAAUUCCAAAACAUUAUACAUGAAAUACCCCAAGGAAGGGGUGGUUCCUGUCAGUCAAUAGCAGUGUUCCAUUUUAAGCUGUAUCAGGUUGAAGGGGAAAAAAUCUUGUACUGUGUUACUGGAACUCUUUUGUGUCUUGGAGGAAAGAUACUGAAAGUCUUUCUCUAAAGGCUGUGUGGGAAUUAUGUCCUAAAGUCUGGAUAUUCUCCUGAGCUUAAUUGUGCUAAUUCAUAGAAAUGCUAAACUCACUAAACUGGACAGCAGAGCUGCAAAUUUGGCUGUAAGUGCAGAUAGUGUAUUGCUUUGUGUGCACUGCGAUUCCCAGCACUGGGCUGGGCUGUACACUUCGCAAGAGUUAGAGAAAUGGACAAUAAUUAAAGCAGGCUUUGCUAUGUGCAAAACAGAAAGGAGCUAAACAAGUCAGAAGAAAGCUUCCCAUGCUUUUCCCAUGCUUCCCAAGUGUAGCAUACUUUUAGUUACGUUUUUAGAGAGAUUUGGAAGAGUAGCUUUUGGAAUGGUAUUUACGCUGAUUGUUCAGUUUUCAUGAAAGUGCUUUCAAGAGCGCUCAAACUCCCACUAAUGAGGAAAGAGGUGCUCGGAGUAGACUACAGAAUUCUGCCAUAUUCCCCUUCGAUGCCCUUUUCAGCACAGUUCUUCAGACAGAAGUAAUGAGAAUUACUUCUGACAAAUCUAGGGGGAUUUGGGAACUUCUCCCUUCCCUAUCUCUCAGCUUAGAGCUGUAGUUCCUCUGGAAAUAUUUGCAAAAAGAAAAUCACGAGCUUCUGUGAUGGAUCACUAAUCUGUCCAUAAGGAAAGAGCGAUGAGAGGGACAAAUGUGUCGCUUGAGCACACGGUGGGGAGAGGCCUACGAGGUCUCAUUGACUGCUUGGUUAAUGGCAGCAUACUGAACUGUCAGGCGGGCUCAUUAGGGACACGCUGCUAAUUCAGUCAGGCAACGGCUGCCAGGCUGCGUUGUGCGGAGCUGAGCAGCACGAGCAGAGCCUGCAAGCAAAGCUGCUGGAAUCCGCUUUUGUGCUCCCUUUGGACAGCUGUCCUCCCUUGUUGGCUUCUUUCCCCAGUUCUAACUGGCCACGUGGAGUUUUGGCACUGUUCGUGUUGCCUGAAGAUUAAUUGUAGAUUGCAGAAGUAAUCCAACUAGCGCUAACCUGAGUAACCCUGCUUCUCUUCCCAGCUGAUUUUGCAUACAUACCUUUAGUCACAGUGUCAGAGCCAGCGUUAAUUCACUGCGUCUGGUGACUUAAUUGGAAAUUGGUUUGAGCUCAUUCUCUUUAAACCCUAAUUUGAAAUGCUGUAGGUGUUUUCCUUAUCUUCACUGCUCACAUCUGCUUGGCAGCAUAUGCUGAAGUUUGCAUUUCUUUUCUGCUGUCAAAAAGACAACCUUAGUCUCCUGGCUUGAUUUUUCAGUUACGUCUCUCUGGAGCGAUGCCCAAAUGACAGGACAGAUCUUUAGCUUAAUGACCUGGAGAUACAAGGAAGGCCUCGUGCCUUCUCAGACGUCACAUGAAAAUCUUUCCCAAGAAUUAAAAUUCACCAAAGAACUGCAGGUGGUUUCAGAGUUACCGCAGUAUUUGCCUUGUAAAUCCACCGCAACCCCUGGAAGGACUUGGUACUGAGCUGUAAUGCAAAGGGAUGGCUUUUGGAGCAGAGAAGAAAGAGCAGUGAUGGGGAAAACCCGUUAUGUGCAGCCCACAGGAGCUGGCAUCCUGUUUUUUGUGUGAUGGACCCAAGUGAUUCCUUGGGUGAUUAUCAUGGAAGGUUGAACAAGGGUAAGAGAUUGUUUCUGGCUCAUAAAGGGAGCAACUAGAUUGUGUCUGUGCUGUUUUUUUUUUUAACGUGCAUAAGAAUAUAAAGUUAAUUGAGGAGUUGGAACCCAACAGAGGGUUUUCUGAUUCUCUACCAUCUGUUUGCCUUUAUGACUCCAGCUCCUCUCCUAUUCUUGGGGAUGAUUUUCCCUGACAUCUUCAGUCUUAUUAAAGCUUAUUUUUGUUUCUGCCCAGUCUUCUGCCAGAGAAAGGCUGAAAUGGAUAAGUUUCUGGUAAUCGUUUUCUGUGUUUUCACCUGAUUUGUCUCAUUGUUUUAAGGCUAGGUCACAUACUUAAGGAUUUCAGAUGUGAUCAGAAAUGAAGCAGAGCAAGGUUUCCCAGGAGAUGACUGUGUGUGCUUGUGCAGAAUAUGCUUCCCAGGGAAACGGUCUGCAGAAUUACCUUGCAGAAUGCUGCACAGCUCCAGCACGUGUGUCACUAACUGUCCAUUCACAAUUGAUGAUUUCUCCAGGUAAUGCUCUCAUCCAGCCAGACUCUGUCAACACACCAGGAGGCUGCCCUCCUUCCCAGAAACAACAAUUCCUGCCUCUGCCUGUUCACAUGGAGGGAUAUCUGUGUAAUUUAGGGAAGGGAAACAGUAUUUUUCUAAGAAUGGAAAAAUACUUGCUGUGUGGGAGGGAAAACUUCUUGCGACCAAGCACUGAGUUUUCUCAAUUCACUUUGUGGGGGGUUUCUAUUAGAGUAAGGCUGGAGGAGGGAGGUCUGAGAUGGUUCUGGGAAGCUUUGACUCAGAAAGGGGAGAGUGAUUCAUAGAUUUUUAGUACUGUUAUUUAUUAAAGCCAGAACAGACCAUUGGACCUAGUCUUUUUCUUAUCUUUCCUUUUGAAAAUGCAAAGCACUUAUGCAAUGACCCCGAAAGAGUCUGUGGGUUUAAACUUAGGUCUUUCGGCAUUAAAAUAUAAAUCCCAGUGGUGGAAGCCAGCCUACCACUAUUUUAAAGAAGAUUUAUGGUCAGUUACUUCUGGAGUCUUGAUGGAAGAGUUCAUUCAUUCAAGAGUUGUUAAUUUUCAGAGGGAAAUGCUGCUUACCAAGGAAAUCAGCUUUUUUAGGAGGAGCCUUUUUCUUCUCCCUGAUUUGGAAGUGCACAUUUACUUCUCCAUAACUUCAUUGUUAAUACUCAAAAUAGACGAUGAGCUGCAAGAUGUACCUUAGAAAAAAAGAUUUAAAGCUCAUAUUUUCCUUUAAGCUUGCCUUACACCGAAGGCUCACACAGCCCCUGUACAUUUGGAUAUGCUGUGUCAGUGGCUGAGAGUCAGAAAAGCUUCCAAGCUUCCAGCAGUCCAUGGUGGAUCCUGGAGCAAACAGCUUCAUUACCCUCCUGAAAACACUGCUAGUAGGGCGAUCUCAUCACGUCUAAACUACUGCCUUGAAUUUGGUUUGUACUGAGUCAGUAAAGCUAGGUAAUGCCUUAAUCUUGGCAGAGGUAGGGAAUGCAUGCAGAGGCUCUUCAAGAGAGAAAAAUGAUAGAGAAAGGACAAACAUCCACUGUCACAACAAAUAGAGGAACUUGGACUUGGAGCUGUGUUUAACUGCACUGGGGUAGACAAAUCUUCCAGAACUGUGCAUCAGACACUUCUGACAAACACAACAUCUGUCCUAGAAGGAUUUAAUUAUGUGAAAUAAGCUCAAGAUAAACUGAUUUGUGUCAGUAGCUGUAAUAAACACAUUCUGCAUGGUUAAGAAGUCUCCAAGGCUUUGGAUAAUCAACUGAAAUCUCAAUUCAGUUUAAUCUCUGAUAAGCGUUUAUCAGUAAUUUUAGACAUUUAGUUGACUUGUAAGCAAUCCUGUAAGAUUACCAAAACCAAUUUCUUGAUUCACAAUUAUUACUGCAUUCGAAACUUUUUUGCUUAAAUAUCCAGAGUGUGGUUCCAAAAAAGUAUUUCCCUGGGAAUGGUUUUGCUGCUUGGGAAAAAUCUCACACAGGUGCAACCAAUUAGAAAAGCCAGACUCCUUUUUUUUGUAAUGAGAAUAGCAAAAAAGAAUCCAAAGAAGAGGUGGUGGUAUGUUGCCUUGCCAGCAAGGGAAGUCAAGAGGACUGCAAACAUUAAUGGAAGUAGAAUUUUGGAGGGAAAAAGCUACAGUCUGCUGUGAGAUGUACACAAAAUUUUCUGGUUUACAGAACCAAUAGUUUAAGAAGCCAACAGAAAUAUGCCAAGAAAAACUUUCAGUCAAACAACCUAACCUGGUUACUGGAGAACGUUGCACUCUUUUGUGGAGGAGCUGACCGUGGAUACAAGUCCUCUGCCAUGCAAGAAGACUUGCUCUGCUAUAACCAAUUUCAACUGCAGCAGCCAACGUCGGUUCCUCAGAUUGAAUGACACCAGUGCCAAAGGAUAGUGACCUUCUUCAGCUGAGAGGAACAGAGCUGGGAAUGAGAAUUUGGCAUCCAGCAAGAAGCAUCCAUAGGAGCCUGCUGAAGCAGCUACCUGAAGCAGUCCUCUCAGCACUCUCAACCUGUAGCCUUGUGUGCCUCAUCUCUGGAUCACCACUGCCUUUGGGCUUUCUCCUGGCCCUGAGUCAGUCUGCUCGCUGUUAAACGUUCUCCCAUCUGUUUUUGGCUGCACGCUGGAUUUCUGCUGGACCCUGAAAGCAGUGAAUAGUUGUGAAGGAAAAUUAUGCAAUUGAAGCAGAAUACAAUUUGAAGAGCCCUCCAUGUGGGGUUGCUGAGUACUGGAAGCCUCCCUUUUCAGCAUUCAUGGUUCUUUAGUUACUUCAGUGCCCCGGUAUGCAGAGCUGGCUUCCUUGGCUCUGGUUUUGUCUCAGUUUUUUUUCCACUCCUCUUUCCUCAGACCUGUCAUUCCUCCUCAGCUACUCUUUUUCCUCUCUGCCUCAGGUGCCAUCUCCCUUCUGUGCAAAAAACCUGACUUCUAAAUCACAGUUGCAUUUUUUGCAUUUUAGUGUUAAAUUUCAUUUUAUUUUUAAUGCAACCACAUUGCAUAUCUUUUUUGGGGUCACAGAAGCAUGUUUGGAGUCUUUCAGUGGUCACUGCCAGGUUCUUCUCCAAACAGAACUGAAACCAGUAUGUUGCUCUCUGUACUAGACCCUUCCUAGCAGCCGUGUUAUGCAGCUCCUCAUAAAAUGGAUCCCUGAUUAGGAUUUUUGAAUAGCUCAAUCACUGAAAAAAUUGCAUUUUGAACAAGCUAGAGCUAUUUUUAAAAAAUUGGGAUAAUGUGUGAUGAAAAGUUUGAGUCUGAAGAAAUAUCAGUGACAACACCCUUCAGAAAUUUAGGCCCAAAACAUGGUCAACGUGAGUAUCACAGUUAUGAACUUACUGGAAUUUAAUUGAACAAUAAGUUUUUUUGUUUUUUUGUUUUUUAAAUACUAUAAAAAUUUUUGACAAAGAUUGAAAAUCGUGCUCAGAACAGUCAUCCAAAAUGGUACAAUUUUAGUUAAUUUGCAUGAAACAGAGGGCAGGUUCUUUGUUUUGGAAUUGUCUAGCAGCAAGUUUGGGGCAAUGUGAUCCUGAAUAAGAAAUCAACAUCAGAGCACAGCUGCCCAGACGACAUGAGUAAAAACCAUCCUCUGCUCUCACUGUCACUGGUACAAACUACAAUACAGCCUGGUAUAUUGGGCCAGUGGGGUGUGAAUUGCCAUCCUCUUCCUGCCAUGCAAGGUGCUCCCUUGGUGAGGUUGCAGAAGCACUAGUUGGUGUGCCACCUGCAGUGCCUUCUGCUGUGCUGGGAGCUCUACAGACUUUAAUAGUGUUAAAGUGAAAAGGAAAAUGUACUUCAUCUGGGCUAUUCUGCAUUACAGUGUUAGCAGCUGCAUUUUCAGUAUUUUGCAAAUUUGGCUACGUGCUUUGUUGCUGCAGCUGCUGGCACCAAACAAAAAAGAUAAGCAUACAUUAAGGCAGGGAAACAAUUGUUGCUUCUGCUCCAUUAAACUGGAACACAUGAUUAAUGUACCAAUAGCUACUUUGUCAGACAAACUCCAUGCUUGAAUGUUUUCCAAAUCAUAAAACAAGACCAAAGAUUUAUAAUUUUGUGUCACAACUCAUAAAUCCAGAUCUCCUCUUGUCCUUCUACUCUGUGUGGAUGGCUUGUAGAGGAAAUUGUGGUGGUUUGGUUAAGUCUACAUUUCAGCAGUCAGUCCUCUUAGGUCAGACAGGUAAGAAAUAUCUGUAAUUGUCUGAGCAAUUUGGCAGUUGAUCUCAUACUUAAAUCACAUUUUCCCCUUUGAAAGUUGGAAAUGUCCAUGUAUAAAUGAGACUCACAAUCCGCAUACCUCUGCCCUUGUGAAUUAGACAAGGUAUCACUUGCUGUUACAUCGCAACUCCUGCUGCAAGAUAAGAACAAGUUGUUACCUUGAUGUAGUAAAGGAGAACAGCUUGAUGUUCUUCUAAAAGCAUAUACCUUUUUAGUAUACUUUUCUAGAGUAAAACAAGGCUCCUGACUGUUCAUUAUAAGAAAUAAAGCUGAACACAUUUUGAAAUGAGUCUUCUGAAAGCAGAAUUUGGCAAAUGGGCAGCAGUGGGAGAUUUAAACUGAUGUCUGGUGACCUUUGCAUUAACAAAGCAAAUGAUUGCUGUUUGCUAAAAUUGUAUUAGCGUUGGAUGCUUCUGGUACGGACUGAGCAAAUGAAAUUUAAAUGGCUGUCUGACAAUCAGUAAACUUUACCUUUUGAUUGAGUCUACAAAUGCUAUAGCAUAGGCCUCCGGGCAGAAGUUUGAGGCGCUGCUUUUUUUGAUGACCACAUGAUUUAAUUCUUCCAGAAAGUGAUUUUGUUUGUAGUAGAAAAGCGUGAUGAGAAGAGGUAAAACCCUGGUACGGAGUUAAGAUCAGUUCCCGCACGUUUCAUUCCAGCAUGGUGCAUCCUUUGGUUGCCACGGUACUUGUUUGAGCAUCCUGGGGAAGUGGCUGUCUGCCACAAAGCAGGGGUUGCACCACCGUGUACUCCUGCUCAGGAAGGACCAAACAUAGCAGUAGCUGUCACCUUUUGCGUGGCCCUUAGUAGGCAGAGGCAGAAGCAGGAAAGAGGGCCUCAAGUGAAGCUGCUCCCGGAUCAAAAAAUACCCCCACUGUCUUCACUAUGGUACUACUGUAGCACCAUGAAAAAUAGAAACACUGUUUUCUGGCGGUACUUUCUGCAACCUCUUUUACUCUUGCGUUCCUCUGUUCCUCUUUCUGUGCUGUAUGCUCUUCUACAUUCAGUCACCCCUUCUGAUUUCACUUAUUAUUCCUGUAUACACUUAAUCCAAGGUCAUCUGUUUUAAUGACUCUUUUUCCUUUACUCCCUGGGAAACAUCUGCAUUCUUCUUGUUCUCUUCCCAGGGCUUUUUUAUAUGGCAUCACCAACACUUUUUAGCAGGCUGCGAGCCUCCCCGUGCUGCCAGCCAAGCCAGUCCCCCUGAGCAGCAGGCUGGUCAGCCUCACCUGCGUGUUUCCCCUCUGGGAUGUUCCUGGUGGCUGCUGCCCUGUUCAGUGCAGCAUGUCCCAGUUUCUGUGCAUGUGCUGGGGUUACAAGAAGGGUUGGCAUAGAAAGCAAUCUGGCAUCUUCCACAGCUCUCCUUGUUAUUUUUUUUUCCCCUUGUGAAGGAAUUUAAGUAUCCAUUUCAGGAAAAUUAACCCAUGUGGAACAUUUUUUUAACAUCUUUGGAGGAAUACAGGAUAGCGUUUUCUUGCAAGUCUUAUCUGGACAGCUUCUGGAAGCUGCACAGAGUAAGCUGGGGCUGAUUGGCAGCUGUCAGCCACUGGUUAUAUGUGUUCAGUGUUUUCUUAGGCAGGAUGAACUGCCGGCUGCUGCUCUCUGGGAUGUAGCAGGAGGCAGGGCAGCGUUUUCAUUUAAUUGCUUGUGGAGAUAGCUGCAGGAUUGUGGUGUCAAAAUAUUGCUAGGUCUCCGGGGAUUUCUUGUCAUUUUGUUGCCACAAUAAGGUCAUAGUUGUCACAGUGGCUUAGUGCAGCCACAGAAUAUGUGUGCGAUUAUUUAUGCAACCUGCAAAUGUAGUGCAGUAAUAAAAUGCAGUGUUGAUGUGUCUGUGAUUCUCAUUCAUUUGCGUAUUCUAAUGCUUUUGUCCUCUGCAGUAUU